GUCCACGCCCUAAACUAUGUCAACUAGUUGUCGGGGAAGAAAUUCCUUGGUAACGAAGCUAACGCGUGAAGUUGACCGCCUGGGGAGUACGGCCGCAAGGUUAAAACUCAAAGGAAUUGACGGGGACCCGCACAAGCGGUGGAUUAUGUGGAUUAAUUCGAUGCAACGCGAAAAACCUUACCUACCCUUGACAUGCUAGGAAGCCCGCAGAGAUGUGGGUGUGCCCGAAAGGGAACCUAGACACAGGUGCUGCAUGGCUGUCGU
rnacentral:rRNA from 1 species